UGAAAACCAAGCUCUUUAGGGCGGAGAACCAAGCUCUUGAGGGAGGAGAACCAAGCCCUGAGGGAAGGCAAUGCACGAGCAGCUUCGGAUGACAGCGGCUCUCUUCAAGAGCAGGACAAUGCUGAAGACGUUUGCUCGAACUGGGCAAUCAGGAGCAUCUGACCGUGAAGGCGGAAAAAGGAGCCGCACAGCUGAGAGGGACCCACAGCCGACCCCUUAAACCUAUGCUGACUACUGACACCCCAGCAUCACUGACAACU